AACGAACGCUGGCGGCAGGCCUAACACAUGCAAGUCGAGCGCGCCUUUCGGGGUGAGCGGCGGACGGGUUAGUAACGCGUGGGAAUAUGCCCUUUUCUGCGGAAUAGCCUCUGGAAACGGAGAGUAAUACCGCAUACGCCCUUCGGGGGAAAGAUUUAUCGGAGAAGGAUUAGCCCGCGUUAGAUUAGGUAGUUGGUGGGGUAAUGGCCUACCAAGCCUACGAUCUAUAGCUGGUUUUAGAGGAUGAUCAGCAACACUGGGACUGAGACACGGCCCAGACUCCUACGGGAGGCAGCAGUGAGGAAUAUUGGACAAUGGGCGCAAGCCUGAUCCAGCCAUGCCGCGUGCAGGAAGAAAGCCCUAUGGGUUGUAAACUGCUUUUAUUCACGAGGAAUAAAUCUCUUGCGAGGGAUUUUGACGUUAGUGUUUGAAUAAGCACCGGCUAACUCCGUGCCAGCCGCCGCAGUAAGAC
rnacentral:rRNA from 1 species